rnacentral:lncRNA from 1 species
GUCUGAAUAAAACUGAAUUGCCUCCACUUGAAUUGUGAGCAGGGAUCUGGCCCGAAUCAAAAGUUUUCAGCGAUAAAGGUCUGGGGCCAAUCCCGUCUAGAUGGAAAGGUGGCUGCAGCUCAGGGCAGAGCUUCAAUGCAACAAAGCACUGCAACAGAAAACUUAUUGGAGCUCGUUAUUUCUUAAAGGGACUUGAAGCAGAGAUUGGAGAGCCAUUGAAUACCACUGAAUACCUAGAAUACUUGUCCCCGAGAGACGCACUUGGACAUGGUACACAUACAUCUUCUAUUGCUGGUGGUUCUCCUGUGGUCAAUGCCAGCUACUAUGGGCUUGGUUUUGGAACAGUGAGGGGUGGCGCACCUGGGGCUCGGCUGGCC